rnacentral:rRNA from 1 species
GAUGAACGCUGGCGGCGUGCCUAAUACAUGCAAGUCGAGCGAACAGACGAGGAGCUUGCUCCUCUUACGUUAGCUGCGGACGGGUGAGUAACACGUGGAUAACCUACCUAUUAGCCUGGGAUAACUUCUGGAAACCGUAGCUAAUACCGGAUAAUAUAUUGAACCGCAUGUUUCAUUUUUGAAAGACGGUUUUGCUGUACCUCAUAAUUGACUCCGCUCCGAAUUAGCUAGUGGUUAAGGUAACGGCCUACCAAGGCAAGGUAGCUUAGCGGACCUGAAGGGGUGAUCGGCAAAACGGGAACGGAGACACGGUCAAGACUCCUACGGGAGGCAGCAGUAGGAAAUCUUCGGCAAGGGGGGAAAGCCUGACGGGGAAAGGCCGCGUGAGUGAGGAAGGUCUUGGGAUCGUAAAACUCGGUGAAUAGGAAAGAACAAAUGGGGAAGGAACUAUGCACGUCGUGACGGUAGCUUAUCAGAAAGCCACGGCUAACUACGUG